AUGAGUUCAUUAGAUAAUCUUUCUUUUUUCUUCUUAUUAUUUUAUUGUUUGUUUUCAUCAGUGCCAGCAAUGCCACCAACAAUUACUACUACAUCUACGACUGCUGCCACCACUACUAUUACUGAUACUACUUCUACUACUACUACUGUUGCUGUUCCUCCUCUUACUACUACUGCUGCUACUACUCAUACUACUUCUACAAUUACUACUACUACUACUGCUACUCCUAAUACCACUACUGUUGCUGUUCCUCUUACUUCUACUGCCGCUACUACUCCUACCACAACUACUACUACUGCUGCUACUACUCCUCCUCCUCCUACUGCUGCUACUACUCCUAAUACUACUACUGUUGCUGUUCCUCCUACUACUUCUACUACUACUGCUGCUACUACCCUUACUCCUUCUACAACAACCACUACAGCUGCUACUAGUCCUCCUCUUUCCACUACUACUACUACUGUUGCUGUUCCUCCUACUAGUGGUACUACUCCUACUCCUUCUACAACAACUACUACUGCUGCUACUAGUCCUUCUCUUUCUAUUAUAACAGCUGCUACUUCUACUCCUACUACUACUGUGGCUGUUCCUCCUCCUACUGCUGCUACUACUCCUAUUCCUUCUACAACAACUAAUACUCCUAAUACUACUACUUUUGCUGUUUCUUCUCCUGCUACUACUAUUGCUACUACUCCUACUACAACUACUACUACUACUGCUGCUACUCCUCCUCCACUUUCCACAACAACAACUACUACUGCUACUAAUAAUACUACUACUGUUGCUGUUCCUCCUACAACUACUACUACUACUACUACUGCUGCUGCUGCUGCUACUACUCUGUCACAUUCUACAACUAGUAGAGCUGCUGCUACUACUCCUCCUCUUUCCACCACAACAAUUACUACUCCUAAUACUACUACUGUUGCUGUUCCUCCUCCUCCUAUCACUACUGCUACUACUCCUACUCCUUCUACUACAACUACUAAUCCUAAUACUACUAAAGUUGCUGUUCUUCCUCCUCCUCCUUCUGCUGCCACUACUCCUCCUCUUUUCACUACUGCUACUCCUCCUAGUACUACUACUGUUGCUGUUCCUCCUCCUCCUACUACUGCUACUACUCCUACUACUUCUACUACAACUACUAAUCCUAAUACUACUACUGUUGCUGUUUCUCCUCCCAUCACUACUGCUACUACUCCUACUCCUUCUACUACAACUCAUAAUUCUAAUACUACUAAAGUUGCUGUUCAUCCUCCUCCUCCCACUGCUGCUACUACUCCUCCUCUUUCCACUACUGCUACUCCUCCUAAUACUACUGAUGUUACUGUGCCUCCUCUUUCUACUUCUACAACUGCCAACACAACUUCUACUGCUACUUCUCCUCCUCCUACUACUACUGCUGCUGUUCCUCCUCCUACUACUGCUGCUACUACUGCAAUCACUUCUCCUACUACAACUGCUACUACUAUUAGUGCAGCUCCUCCUCCUACUACUGUGGCUGUUGUUCCUCCUCCUCCUCCUCCUCCUACUACUACUCCUACUACUAUAACUACUACUACUCCUGCUACUACUUCUCCUCUUCCCACUACUACUACUGCUGCUACUUCACCUACUACAACUGCUACUACUACUACUGAUAUUACUUCUCCUACUACAACUGCUACUACUAUUGCUGCAGCUACUCCUCCUCCUACUACUACUGUCGCUUUUCCUCCUCCUCCUCCUACUGCUACAACUAUUGCUGCCACUACUUCUCCUCUUCCCACAACAACUGCUGCUACUUCUCCUACUGCAACUGCUACUACUACUGCAGCUACUACUCCUCCUACUACUGCUACUACUACAACUACGACUGCUACUUCUCCUCCUACUACUUCUGUUGCUGUUCCUCCUCCUUCUCCUACUACUACUUUUCCUACUACUACUACUACUACUACUACUACUACUGCUACUUCUCUUACUACUACUGGUGCUACUUCUCCUACUACAACUGCUACUACUACUGCAGCUACUACUCCUACUACUACUACUGUUGCUGUUCCUCCUCCUCCUACUACUUCUGCUACUACUACUGGUGCUACUUCUCCUACUACAACUGCUUCUACUACUGCAGCUACUCCUCCUCCUACUACUCCUACUGUUGUUGUUCCUCCUCAUCCUCCUACUACUGCUACUACUACUCCUACUACAACUACUGCUGCCACUUCUCCUCUUCCCACUACUACUGUUGUUGCUGUUCCUCCUACUACUAAUACUACUGCCACCACAACUUCUACUGCUACUUCUCCUCCUCCUACUACUACUGUUGCUGUUCCUCCUCUUCCUCCUACUACUGCUACUUCUACUAGAACUGUUACUACUACUGCAGCAGCUACUACUCCUACUACUACUGCUGCUACUUCUCCUACUACAACUGCUACUACUACUGCAGCUCCUCCUCCUCCUACUACUGCUACUACUACUACUACUACUCCUACUACAACUAUUACUGCUACUUCUCCUCCUACUACUACUUCAGUUGCUGUUCCUCCUCCUCCUACUACUACUACUUUUCCUAUUACAACUACUACUACUACUGCCGCUACUUCUCCUACUACGACUACUACUGCUACUUCUCCUCCUCCCACUACUUCUGUUGCUGUUCCUCCUACUCCUCCUCCUACUACUACUACUUUUCCUACUACAACUAUUACUACUACUGCUGCUACUUCUCUUACUACUACUGGUGCUACUUCUCCUACUACAACUGCUACUACUACUGCAGCUACUACUCCUGCUACUACUACUGUUGCUGUUCCUCCUCCUACUACUACUGCUGAUACUUCUCCUACUACAACUGCUACUACUACUGCAGCUCCUCCUCCUCCUCCUACUACUACCACUGUUGCUGUUCCUCCUCAUCCUCCUACUACUGCUACUACUACUUCUACUACAACUACUGCUGCUACUUCUCUUCCCACUACUACUGUUGUUGCUGUUCCUCCUACUACUAAUACUACUGCGACAACUUCUAAUGCUACUUCUCCUCCUCCUACUACUACUGUUGCUGUUCCUCCUCAUCCUUCUACUGCUAUUUCUACUACAACUACUACUACUACUGCUGCUACUUCUCCUUCUACAACUGCUACUACUACUGCAGUUACUUCUCCUCCUCCUACUGCUACUACUACUCCUACUCCUACUACAACUACUACUGCUAAUUCUCCUCCUACUACUUCUGUUGCUGUUCCUCCUACUACUACUACUUUUCCUACUACUACUACUGCUGCUACUUCUCUUACUACUACUGCUGCUACUUCUACAACUGCUACUACUAUUACUGCAGCUACUCCUCCUCCUACUACUGUUGCUGUUCCUCCUCCUCCUUCUCCUACUGCUACUACUACUCCUACUACUAUAACUACUACUACUGCUGCUACUUCUCCUACUAUAACUGCUACUACUACAUCAGCUACUACUACUUCUCCUACUACUACUACUACUGUUGCCGUUCCUCCUCCUACUACUACUGCUGCUACUUCUCCUACUACAACUGCUACUACUGCUACUGCAGCUACUACUCCUACUACUACUUCUACUAGAACUGUUACUACUACUACUGCAGCUACUACUCCUACUACUACUUCUGCUAGAACUGUUACUACUACUGCAGCAGCUACAACUCCUACUACUACUGCUGCUACUACUACUGCUGCUGCUUCUCCUACUACAACUGCUACUACUACUGCAGCUACUCCUCCUCCUCCUACUACUACUACUGUUACUACUACUCUUACUACAACUACUGCUGCUACUUCUGUUGCUGUCCCUCCUACUCCUCCUCCUACUACUACUACUUUUCCUACUACAACUACUACUGCUGCCACUUCUCUUACUACAACUGCUGCUACUUCUCCUACUACAAUUGCUACUACUACUGCAGCUACUACUCCUACUACAACUACUGCUGCUACUACUACUAAUCCUCUUCCCACUACUACUGUUGUUGCUGUUCCUCCUACCACUAAUACUACUGCCACCACAACUUCUACUGCUACUUCUCCUCCUCCUACUACUACUACUGUUGCUGUUCCUCCUCCUCCAACUACUAUUGCUACUUCUACUAGAACUGCUACUACUACUUCUCCUACUACAACUGCUACUACUACUGCAGCUCCUCCUCCUACUACUACUUCUACUACUAGUCCUACUACAACUACUACUGCUACUUCUCGUCCUACUACUACUUCUGUUGCUGUUCCUCCUACUCCUCCUCAUCCUACUAUUACUUUUCCUACUACAACUACUACUACUACUGCUGCUACUUCUCUUACUACUUCUGCUGCUACUACUUCUACUACCACUACUGCUGCUACCUCUCCUACUACUACUGCUGCAACAACUACAGCAACAAAAAAAGGUAUGUACUGUAAAAUACAAAUUAGUUUUUAUUAUUAUUGA
ensembl:lncRNA